rnacentral:rRNA from 1 species
CCUACGGGAGGCAGCAGUAGGGAAUAUUGGACAAUGGGUGCGAGCCUGAUCCAGCCAUGCCGCGUGCAGGAAGAAGGCCUUCUGGGUUGUAAACUGCUUUUGCCGGGGGAUAAAAGACCCAUGCGUGGGGAAUUGAAGGUACCCGGUGAAUAAGCCACGGCUAACUACGUGCCAGCAGCCGCGGUAAUACGUAGGUGGCGAGCGUUGUCCGGAUUUAUUGGGUUUAAAGGGUGCGUAGGCGGCCCCGUAAGUCAGUGGUGAAAUACGGCAGCUCAACUGUCGAGGUGCCAUUGAUACUGCGGGGCUUGAGUACAGUCGAGGUAGGCGGAAUUGACGGUGUAGCGGUGAAAUGCUUAGAUAUCGUCAAGAACACCGAUAGCGAAGGCAGCUUGCUAGGCUGUAACUGACGCUGAGGCACGAAAGUGCGGGGAUCAAACAGGAUUAGAUACCCUGGUAGUCCGCACAGUAAACGAUGGUCACUCGGUGUUGGCGGUACACGGCCAGCGCCUUAGCGAAAGCGUUAAGUGACCCACCUGGGGAGUACGCCCGCAAGGGUGAAACUCAAAGGAAUUGACGGCUGAGACGNGCGAGACGACGACGAGGGAGAGG